UACGGAGGGUGCAAGCGUUAAUCGGAUUUACUGGGCGUAAAGCGCACGCAGGCGGUUUGUUAAGUCAGAUGUGAAAUCCCCGGGCUCAACCUGGGAAGGUCAUCGGAUACUGGGGAGCUUGAGUCUCGUAGAGGGGAGUAGAAUUCCAGGUGUAGCGGUGAAAUGCGUAGAUAUCUGGAGGAAUACCAGUGGCGAAGGCGACCCUCUGGAC
rnacentral:rRNA from 1 species